AACGCACAUUGCGCCCGCCAGCAUUCUGGCGGGCAUGCCUGUUCGAGCGUCAUUUCAACCCUCAGGCCCUGCCUGGCGUUGGAGGACUGCGCACGCAGCCUCCCAAAGCAAGCGGCGGCGGCGCCCCAUAACCGAACGCAGUAGUUACAUCUCGUUCUGGGUCUGGGUCGUUGUCCUGCCGGAAAACCCCCAUCUUUACAAUGGUUGACCUCGAAUCAGGUAGGAAUACCCGCUGAACUUAA
rnacentral:misc_RNA from 2 species